rnacentral:tRNA from 1 species
GCCCCUAUAGUUUAAUGGUAAAACACAGCAAUGGUAAUGCUGCAAUACUAGUUCGAUUCUAAUUGGGGGCACCA